UGGGGAAUAUUGGACAAUGGGCGCAAGCCUGAUCCAGCCAUGCCGCGUGAGUGAUGAAGGCCCUAGGGUUGUAAAGCUCUUUCACCGGUGAAGAUAAUGACGGUAACCGGAGAAGAAGCCCCGGCUAACUUCGUGCCAGCAGCCGCGGUAAUACGUAGGUGGCAAGCGUUAUCCGGAAUUAUUGGGCGUAAAGCGCGCGUAGGCGGUUUUUUAAGUCUGAUGUGAAAGCCCACGGCUCAACCGUGGAGGGUCAUUGGAAACUGGAAAACUUGAGUGCAGAAGAGGAAAGUGGAAUUCCAUGUGUAGCGGUGAAAUGCGCAGAGAUAUGGAGGAACACCAGUGGCGAAGGCGACUUUCUGGUCUGUAACUGACGCUGAUGUGCGAAAGCGUGGGGAUCAAACAGG
rnacentral:rRNA from 1 species